GCCGCCAUAGCUCAGUGGCAGAGCACUGGUCUUGUAAACCAGGGGUCGUGAGUUCGAUCCUCACUGGCGGCU
rnacentral:tRNA from 2 species